rnacentral:rRNA from 1 species
CAGUAGCCGCGGUAAUACGUAGGUGGCAAGCGUUGUCCGGAAUUAUUGGGCGUAAAGGGCUCGCAGGCGGUUUCUUAAGUCUGAUGUGCAAGCCCCCGGCUCAACCGGGGAGGGUCAUUGGAAACUGGGAAACUUGAGUGCAGAAGAGGAGAGUGGAAUUCCACGUGUGGCGGUGAAAUGCGUAGAGAUGUGGAGGAACACCAGUGGCGAAGGCGACUCUCUGGUCUGUAACUGACGCUGAGGAGCGAAAGCGUGGGGAGCGAACAGGAUUAGAGACCCCUGUAGUCCCUGUCUCUUAUAU